AUUGAACGCUGGCGGAAUGCUUUACACAUGCAAGUCGAACGGCAGCACGGGUGCUUGCACCUGGUGGCGAGUGGCGAACGGGUGAGUAAUGCACCGGAACGUAUCCAAUAAUGGGGGGAUAACGCACCGAAAGGUGUGCUAAUACCGCAUACGCCCUGAGGGGGAAAGCGGGGGAUCGUAAGACCUCGCGUUAAUGGAGCGGCCGAUGCCGGAUUAGCUAGUUGGUGAGGUAAAGGCUCACCAAGGCGACGACGGGUAGCCGGCCUGAGAGGGCGACCGGCCACACUGGGACUGAGACACGGCCCAGACUCCUACGGGAGGCAGCAGUGGGGAAUAUUGCACAAUGGGCGAAAGCCUGAUGCAGCGACGCCGCGUGAGGGAUGAAGGCCUUC
rnacentral:rRNA from 1 species